ACGACCUCGUUGGUCAAUGGGCGCGUUUCAGUUUCGAUUUAAAAAUCGGCAACUAUGAGUACUUACAGUAGUAUAUCUGUUUAUUCGGUCAAUUUUAGUGAUAGAGAUGUUUUGAAAUUUUUUAAAUCAAAGUGUCACAUAUUUCCUUAAAUAUUGUGCAGUUAUAUAGUUUUUGAAAAAUACAGAGAUCAAAUAAUAUUAAUGUUUUUACUGCACUUGGAUUUAAAUUUCACCGCACUAGGAUGUAGAAAGAAAUAUGAAUAUAUUUUAUGAAUUAAAAUGUGUGUGUAUUGAGUGCUGCGUCCGGUAAACAUUCGAAGUUAAAACUGAGAAUGAUGGUAUAUUUUCUUAUUUAGCAUUUUGAAGAUUUAAAAAUUUUUCUUCCUCAUACCCAGUGCUUGUUACAUAGAAAGGGUUUUUAAAUACUUUUGCGUAUAUUUCAUAACUAUCUUUCUCUCUUUUUUUUUUUUUAAUUUUUUUUUUUUUUUUUUAUUUUAAAGCAGUAAUUGUUUCGAGCUGAUUAUCAUCGUAGCAUAGCAAAUGUUUUGCCUCGGAAUGACUCAGUUUUGAAAUUGAGAUAAGCGGUAUCCCUUUCGACUGUUAUCAAUGUACCGAUAAAGGAAGGAAAAGUAAUCGCUGGAAUGAAAGUAUGAUUAUGCGUCUCAAUAAGCUAUUUUGUGAAAGUUUGUGCUUGAGAAAUAUAUGGCACAAUCAAACUUCUUUGAGCUAUGCAUAAUUUAAAACUGUAAGAAAUAUGAUUUUGCUUUCAGUAUUAUUAAUAUUUUUUAGAACUGUUACGUUAUAAACUUGAGGGGAAAACAAAACGCUUUUUCAUAUAGAUACUUUAUUUUUACAAUGAUCAUAAGAAUCAUAUGGAUUUUGGUGCUUUUCGAAGCAGUUUUGAAUUCUGAAGCUUCAACUUGUUCAUCAUGGCUUACAUGUGGGCAGUGCAUUGCUUCUCGGAAUUGUACUUGAUGUUCAGAAUCGG